rnacentral:rRNA from 1 species
AAUCUGGGGUCUCCGGCCCCCGAGUUGUAAUUUGGAGAGGCAUCUUCGGGAGGAGCGCUGGCCAAUGUUCCUUGGAACAGGACGUCGCAGAGGGUGAGAAUCCCGUGCCAGGCCAGCCGCGCCCUUCCACGUGAAGCGCCUUCGACGAGUCGAGUUGUUUGGGAAUGCAGCUCCAAGUGGGUGGUAAAUUUCAUCUAAAGCUAAAUACCGGCGAGAGACCGAUAGCGCACAAGUAGAGUGAUCGAAAGAUGAAAAGCACUUUGAAAAUAGAGUCAAAAAGUACGUGAAAUUGUUGAAAGGGAAGCGCUUGAGACCAGACUCGGAGCGAGGCAAACAUCUGGCCCCGCGGGGCCGUGCACUUGCCUCGGGCCGGGCCAGCAUCAGUUGGUGCGGCGGGAGAAAGGCGCGGGGAAUGUGGCUCCCCUCGGGGAGUGUUAUUAGCCCCGUGCUCAAUGCCGCCCGCACCGACUGAGGACCGCGCUUCGGCUAGGAUGCUGGCUUAAUGGCCUUCAGCGACCCGUCUUGAAACACGGA